rnacentral:rRNA from 1 species
GAUGAACGCUGGCGGCGUGCUUAACACAUGCAAGUCGAACGGAAAGACCCUGCUUUUGUUCGUUGCUCGAUUGGCGAACACGUGUGUAACACGUGAGUAACCUGCCCUUGACUUUGUGAUAACUUCAGGAAACUGCGGCUAAUAUCGCAUAUGAGCUCCUGCUGCGUGUUGUUCGUUGGAAAGUUUCGGCGGUUGGGGAUGGACUCGCUGCUUAUCAGCUUGUUUGUGUGGUAGUUGCUUACCAAGGCUGUGACGGGUAGCCGGCCUGAGAGGGUUACCGGCCACCUGAGGACUGAGAGACGCACCAGACUGGUACGGGAGGCAGCAGGGGGGAAUAUUGCACAACAGGCGGACGCGAGAGACAACGACGCCGCGUGCGGGAUGACGGCCUACGAGGUGUAAACAACUUUGGAAGGAGAUGAAGACUGAGUGACGGUAACGGAUAAAGAAGCAACGGCUAACUACGUG